rnacentral:tRNA from 3 species
GCGGGCGUAGUUCAGUUGGUAGAACGUCUCCUUGCCAAGGAGAAGGUCGGCAGUUCGAGCCUGCUCGCCCGCU